rnacentral:rRNA from 1 species
GACGAACGCUGGCGGCGUGCUUAACACAUGCAAGUCGAACGGAAAGGCCCUGCUUUUGUGGGGUGCUCGAGCGGCGAACGGGUGAGUAACACGUGAGUAACCUGCCCUUGACUUUGGGAUAACUUCAGGAAACUGGGGCUAUUACCGGAUAGGAGCUCCUGCUGCAUGGUGGGGGUUGGAAAGUUUCGGCGGUUGGGGAUGGACUCGCGGCUUAUCAGCUUGUUGGUGGGGUAGUGGCUUACCAAGGCUUUGACGGGUAGCCGGCCUGAGAGGGUGACCGGCGACAUUGGGACUGAGAUACGGCGCAGAAUCCUACGGGAGGCAGCAGUGGGGAAUAUUGCACAAUGGGCGGAAGCCUGAUGCAGCAACGUCGCGUGCGGGAUGAUGGCCUUCGGGUUGUAAACCGCUGUCGCCUGUGACGAAGCGUGAGUGACGGUAAUGAGUAAAGAAGCACCGGCUAACUACGUG